rnacentral:rRNA from 1 species
UACGUAGGGGGCAAGCGUUGUCCGGAAUCAUUGGGCGUAAAGAGCGUGUAGGCGGUCAGGUAGGUCCGUUGUGAAAACUCGAGGCUCAACCUCGAGACGCCGAUGGAAACCAUCUGACUAGAGUCCGGAAGAGGAGAGUGGAAUUCCUGGUGUAGCGGUGGAAUGCGCAGAUAUCAGGAGGAACACCGGUGGCGAAGGCGGGUCUCUGGGCCGUUACUGACGCUGAGGAGCGAAAGCGUGGGGAGCGAACAGG